AUCUCUUCCAGGGCGGCAAGGUGCUUUUAUUGCCUCCAUCUCACAGAGGAGAGACCUGAGUCUUUGAAGGACAAAGGGAGGGGCCUGACAUCACAAUGCCAGUGAAUGGCAGAGCUGGGACUGGAACCCAGCUCCCUCUGUCUGCACAGCCCAAGCUAUUGGCCCACCACAGGAGCCUGCCUCCAUAGCAAUGAAAAAUAAUUGGAGUAUUUAAGAAUCAGAGUUUUACUGAUGCUCCCAUUAUGAAGAAAAAAUCAUCACUUACUAUAAGGAAGAGUUCCUGCCUUGAUUAAAGUUGGCAGAUGUGAGGGUUGUUUUGCAGUCAGGUAUAAUGGAAGCAGCACUGCCUUUCUAGGCUAGAAACCAGCCUGUCAUGCCAGCCUCUCCAAUCGCUGUGGGACCCUGGAGAAGUCGGUGAACCUCAACAGACCCUUUUCUCAUCUAAAAAUAAAAAUAAGACAAUUGGAGUAGA